AAUGUAGAUAAGGGAAGUCGGCAAAAUGGAUCCGUAACUUCGGGAUAAGGAUUGGCUCUAAGGGUCGGGCCCGCUGGGCCUUGGGGGAAACCCCUCGGAGCAGGGGGGCACUAGCCGGGCAACCGGCCGGCGCCCCCCAGCACUGGGGCGGGGACGCCCUUGGCAGGCUUCGGCCGUCCGGCGGGCGCUUAACGACCAACUUAGAACUGGUACGGACAAGGGGAAUCUGACUGUCA
rnacentral:rRNA from 1 species